CGUCGUUGUCCAUUUGGCUGCGACCGUCUGCAAAAGGCCAGCCAUGGCGCUCUCCGGGCGGUGGAUGGGCCCGUACUCCUUGAUGAUUCGUCGUCGUCGCUCUCGUCGUCAUUGCAAACUUCUAUCCAACGAAUCUUUUUCCUUCUUCUGUGUUUUUUGUCUGAUCGAGAGAAACUCCUCGUCAUCAGCGGUAACGUCGAACCGUUCUCUUUUGGCGGUGGAUCCAAAAGCGACGUGUUUUGGUACUUCCGCCUCUCUUGAAUCGGUACUAGUCCGGUGUAGCCUCUGCAAGCGGCGCACACGGAAAGCAUCAACCGUCUUCAUCACCCUCUCUUCCGAAGAAGAUAAUGCUGAUGCAUGGAGUUCUUUAAAUUCAGUGGGAAUUAUCAGAUUCCUAAUUUGUUGUUGGUUAACAUUCACAUUCCAUCGGUCUUCUGAUGAGUCCUGUGCUGUAGUUGGUGCUUCAACUUGUGCAUUUAGAGAAAGGAAUUAUGAUAGUUGCUUUCUAGAUUAAGGAUUGGCAUCACAAGUUUGCUGCUACAAAAUUUGGAACUUUGAAGUGGUAACACCCUUUUAGGGAAGGAUCCUGGAUAAGCUGUGAAGAUAGUAGGUUAGCACCCUCUCAAAGGAAAGGGAAAUAUUCAAUGUUUGCUGAAGUGAACACCAGCAAAGGACCUUCUGUGCUCAAGUCAUCCAAGUAAAGGAGAAAGGAUGCCCCAGAAAUAAUGAUAUAGAAGUUCCAGGAUUUGGAGUAUGCACACUUGAUGUUGUUGAGUUGGAGUUACCUUCUAUAUGUGGUACAGGAGUUCCCCUAUCCCAAAACAGAUAGCAUCAUGGAUUUGAUUAGAAGGGUAUAUAAGGGAUAUUGCAGUUUUAAAAGGUAUAAUUUUUACAAUCAGUGUUAACAUUUUUUAAUGCUAAAACUGUUCAAUGCAUUGCUUACAAUGUGAUUGGUCAUCAAGGGACUAUCUCAAAGUUUGGGCCACUACAUGAAACAUUUUGCAGGCAAAACUAUUAUGAGAUUUGCUGAACAUUUUAAUGUUAGUCCUAUAAUAACUUGUUCAUGGAUUUGCUUGCUUUGAGCUGGGAUGUUUUUCUAUUUUUGUAACUUGUAUUCCAUUUGCUCAGUUCAUAUUUGGAGUUUAUGGAGAUUAAUUCGCAUAUCUCUGAGUUCCUUCUCCCUCCAUAUGUUCCACUAAUGGAUUUAUUUUGGUGUAGAGGAGCCCUUAUGUUGGAGUAUAUUGACUGAAAUAACCUUUUAUUAUUGAGAUUGGCAAUCAAGUACAUCAAAUCCUUGUGGAUACCCAAUUGCAAAUGUUCAUAUGAGAUUGGCAAUCAAGUACAUCAAAUCCAUCUUCAUGGCUUCCUGCAGAAUCAAUCAUUGGCUUAACAAUGCCUGUUGUCAUUUAUGGUACAGUCUGAUCAAUGAAAACUUGAUAACAGAGAUGUGGACUAAAUUUUGUGA